CCAGAGUAUGUUCUUAAAAAUUUAUUAAGUAGUCACUAAGUAGUUGUUAGUACUUGCUCAAAUUAAAUAUCCAGAAACUGAACUUAGUGCAUUAUUAGAUUUACUGAAGCCUCAAAUUCAGUAUGAAUUUACUAGGCUCAUUCUGUCUCAGUUAGACCAAUCCCUUACCUGUUUGGGCUUUGCACUUGCCAUUUCCUCUGCCUUGAAGUGCAGUCUCUGAGUGCUUCACACAGUUGGCUCCAUCCCCUCACUUUGGUAUCAGCUCAGUUGACUCCCCUACACCACCCCAUCUAAAAUAGCCACCAGCCAUUCUUGGUUACCUUACUCUGUUUUAUUUAGUAUGUUGCUUUUUCAUGUUUAUCGUUGGUUUCACCCUUAGAAUUUCAGCUUCAUGAAAGGGCCUGGUUUAUCUUGUUCAUAUCUAUGUCACCAGUGCCUAGAAACAAUAUCAAAUGCAUGCUAGGCACUCGAUAAAUAUUUGUUGGAUUAAAAAAUCUGUCUAGCUUCUAAGCAACUUCACAUACUAGCAUGCAGAUAUUAGGUUUUUUUUGCUUUUGUUUUUGUUUUUAGUUUUUGAGACAGUGUCUUGCCAGGCUGGAGUGCAGUGGUGUGAUCUUGGCUCACUACAGCCUCCACCUCCUGGGUUCAAGCAAUUCUCCUGCCUCAGCCUCCAGAGUAGUUAGGAUUAGAGGCAUGCACCACCACACACAGCUAAUUUUGAUUUUUAGUAGAGACAGCAUUUCUCCACAUUUGUCAGGCUAGUCUUGAACUCCUGACCUCAGGUGAUCUGCCCACCUCGGCCUCCCAAAGUGCUGGGAUUACAGGUGUGAGCCACUGUGCCUGGCGAUAGACUCAAACUUGCCAAGUAAGUUAACAAUUUUUAAUUCUUCAUUACAAAUACUAUAUCUGCAUGUUCCAUAUAAGGAACUGAUGUUGCUGAGACAUUUCUGAUUAGUUUUAAGCUCCAUCAUCAACAUAAUAAAUGAGUAUUUCUUCUUUUAAGUGAAUAUACAAUUCAUUUAACAUUCAAACUUCAUUAAGCCAUGUGUAAUAUGGCAAUUUUAGUGGAGAUUAAAACCUACCUAGGAUGAUUGCUUGCUGGGGCUAAGCAACAGGGUCAGGUUCACAUUUAGCACUAAUUUAAUUAAAUACUUCAUUGAA
rnacentral:lncRNA from 1 species